ACUCAGGAAAUUCCAAGAGACAAGAGCUUCUGGUUUUCAGGACAAGAAUACUGUUGGCAAUGCAGUGGGUAGUAGCCUUUAAAUUUAAAUUCCAUCCUGUUUUUUCCCCUUCUCAAUUUUCGGACUAUCUUAAAAGAAGAAGGCUAUAAAUUUAUAAAGAAGGAAGUUACUGAAAUUGCUUUAAGAACUAUUGAGGAUCAGUUUGCUCACAUUGUCUCUCAAAUAGCUAAAGAGGAGGAAGAAUGCCUUGCAGAACAGAAUAUCCAAAAGCAGGUUCAGCUGGAGUUUAUUGACAUUGAGAGGAAGGUGUGUCUGAUGGAGGCAAUGAUGCAACAAACAAAAGCAUUAGCGGACAUGACAAGAUAUCCUAAUCAAAUUUGCUUUUGGAACUACAUAUGAAGUUCACCAAUUAAACAUAAAGUCUUGAUUAAAAAGAAGUAUGAUGUGAAAGAGAAAAUUUAUUGUUCAUAUUAUGCUAAUAAAUCAUAAUUAAUUAUCUCAGAGCAUUUUUCUACAUGUUUCUAACCCAUCUAAACGGAAAUCAGGUUGAUUGCUUCAAAUACCAGCUAUCUGUACUAGCUGUUUUCUCCGCUGGUUAAUUCUGAAUUUCAUUAUCAAGAAAAUGAGGGGAAAGAACAAAAUUCUGGAAGCUAAUAACUAAAAGAAGUUGAAAUCAUUUAUUGAAUUUUUAUACUGAUGGCCUUAGGAGUCAAAAUGAAUAUUCAUCUUUUGAUCUUUUCAUUGCUGGAAAAUAGAAUAAUCUGAAUACAGCUCAGGUCUGGCAAAGAAGUAUAGAUUUGAAUACUUUUACUGGCUUUUAUCAUCUUCUUUUUUUUCCUUGGAUGUGCUGCACCAGCUAACAUCGUUUGUGAUGAACACUAGUACUUGUAAAAUAUCUCCUGGACUUGAAUCAAGCAGACUUCUGAACUGGAAAAUAUAUGUGCAUCGCUCAGUGAGAAGUUGCAGAGGGGUUUAUAUGUCCCAGUUGUCAUAUAGUUAAUGUG